UGAAACUGAAAUAGUUUGGGGGACCUCAGA
rnacentral:piRNA from 1 species